rnacentral:snRNA from 1 species
CGAAAUCCGCUAAGGAGUGUG